GGUGGCUCAGUGGUAGAGCGCUUGCCUCGUAUGCAUAAGGCCCUGGGUUCGAUUCCUCAGCACCA
rnacentral:tRNA from 1 species